GCCUUCGUGGUGUAAUGGUAGCACACUGAGUUGGUAUUUCAGAGGUCCGUGGUUCGAUCCCCGGCGAAGGUA
rfam:Stegodyphus mimosarum contig122294, whole genome shotgun sequence.